UACGUAGGGUGCAAGCGUUGUCCGGAAUUAUUGGGCGUAAAGAGCUCGUAGGCGGUCUGUCGCGUCUGCUGUGAAAACCUGGGGCUUAACCCCGGGCCUGCAGUGGGUACGGGCAGACUAGAGUGCGGUAGGGGAGACUGGAAUUCCUGGUGUAGCGGUGAAAUGCGCAGAUAUCAGGAGGAAUACCGGUGGCGAAGGCGGCAUCCUGGACCGGCAUUGACGCUGAGGAGCGAAAGCUAGGGGAGCAAACGGG
rnacentral:rRNA from 1 species